rnacentral:rRNA from 1 species
AAAGAAAGUAAAUAAGGGCGUAUGGCGGAUGCCUAGGCUCAUGGAGGCGAUGAAGGACGUGAUAAGCUGCGUUAAGCCUUGGGUAGGUGCAAAUAACCUUUGAUCCAAGGAUUUCCGAAUGGGACAACCCAACUAUCAUCAGAUAGUUAUUACUGUUAAUCAGUAAGGCAAACGGAGGGAACUGAAACAUCUUAGUACCUCUAGGAGAAGAAAAUAAUUAAAUGAUUCCCUUAGUAGUGGCGAGCGAACGGGGAAAAGCCCAAACCACGUUUGUAGCAAUGCAAUCGUGGGGUAGUAGGAGCAUAAUAUAUUGUACUUUGAUUGUGAAUAGAAUGAACUGGAACGUUCAGCCAUAGCGGGUGAAAGCCCCUUAUAUGAAGCAAGAGAAGACAUAGUGUCAUCCUGAGUAACGCGGAGCACGAGAAAUUCUGCGCGAAUCAGCCGGGCCCAUCCGGUAAGGCUAAAUACUCCCAUGAGACCGAUAGUGAACCAGUACCGUGAGGGAAAGGUGAAAAGAACCUCGAUGAGAGGAGUGCAAUAGAUCCUGAAACCAUACGCCUACAAGCGGUCGGAGCUGCUUUAUGCAGUGACGGCGUGCCUUUUGCAUAAUGAACCUACGAGUUACCGUCACCGGCAAGGUUAAGGAUAUUGAUAUCCGUCAACCGUAGUGAAAGCGAGCCUGAACAGGGCGAGGUUGUCUCCCUUUGUGGAGACAAAGCGCACUUUGUGCGUUUUAGUCGGUGGAGGUAGACGCGAAACCAAGUGAUCUACACAUGUCCAGGUUGAAGUCUCGGUAACACGAGAUG